AUUGAACGCUGGCGGCAGGCCUAACACAUGCAAGUCGAGCGGAGCGGCGGACGGGUGAGUAAGUCCGAGGAAUCGGCCUGGUAGUGGGGGAUAACGUCCGGAAACGGGCGCGCAUACCGCAUACUCUCAGAUGAGCCUAGGUCGGAUUAGCUAGUUGGUGGGGUAAAGGCCUACAAAGGCGACGAUCCGUAACUGUGCUGAGAGGAUGAUCAGUCACACUGGAACUGAGACACGGGCCAGACUCCUACGGGAGGCAGCAGUGGGGAAUAUUGGACAAUGGGCGAAAGCCUGAUCCAGCCAUGCCGCGUGUGUGAAGAAGGUCUUCGGAUUGUAAAGCACUUUAAGUUGGGAGGCGUUACCAACAGAAUAAGCACCGGCUAACUUCGUGCCAGCAGCCGCGGUAAUUC
rnacentral:rRNA from 1 species